rnacentral:ncRNA from 1 species
ACAGAGCGCAAGUGCCGCAAUGGGUGUUGCGGUAGACGAGGAAUGAGGUUAUCGAUUAGUCAGCGGAUGCCUCACGGCCGGCUGUGGGCCGUAAGCCGAAAACAAAGCCCAUUGGUAACAAUGGAGAGAAAGCUU